rnacentral:lncRNA from 1 species
CCUAGGAGGGAAUAUUGAAAUUGGAACCACAACACUUGGGUAUAUCAGGUUGGAAAAGACAGUUCAACAGAUGGCUGGUCACCUUGAUUGAGUAGAAUGCCACUGGAAGACCACAAAUCUCUAAACCAUAGUGAAGAAUUGGCCAAGGGGAGCAAAAUCCAAUCAAUUCAAGGGGUUCCCCUUUCCAGGGUCUUGGACAGCGAGGUGAGCGUGUGUUUCUAGCAGGUAAAGCUGACAUGUGGCAUCCAGGAGGUCUCUGCUCAACUUGAAGAAAUUGAAUGAGUGCAUUUUGUUUCCUGCUUAUAAUUUCCACUUAAAGCACCUCUGUAGUUGACCUCAAGGCCUGCUUUGAUAUCAAUCUCCAAAGCACAAAAGGAAUCAUUUUGCACUUUUUUUCUUCAAGGGACUUACAAAUGAAGGAUCUGAUAAGCACAGUUGAUGAUUAAACCUAAUAAGCUGGC